GAUGAACGCUAGCGGCAGGCUUAAUACAUGCAAGUCGAGGGGCAGCAUGGUGUAGCAAUACACUGAUGGCGACCGGCAAACGGGUGCGGAACACGUACAGAACCUUCCUUCGAGCGGGGAAUAGCCCAGAGAAAUUUGGAUUAAUACCCCAUAGUAUAUUGAAAAGGCAUCUUUUUAAUAUUAAAGAUUUAUCACUUGAAGAUGGCUGUGCGGCUGAUUAGGUAGUUGGCGUGGUAACGGCCCACCAAGCCUGCGAUCAGUAACUGGUGUGAGAGCACGACCAGUCAAACGGGCACUGAGACACGGGCCCGACUCCUACGGGAGGCAGCAGUAAGGAAUAUUGGUCAAUGGACGAAAGUCUGAACCAGCCAUGCCGCGUGGAGGAUGAAGGUCCUCUGGAUUGUAAACUUCUUUUAUAUGGGACGAAAAAAGGCUUUUCUAAGUCGUCUGACGGUACCAUAUGAAUAAGCACCGGCUAACUCCGUGCCAGCAGCCGCGGUAAGAC
rnacentral:rRNA from 1 species